GACGAACGCUGGCGGCGUGCCUAAUACAUGCAAGUAGAACGCAGUUGCGCACGGGUGAGUAACGCGUGGGUAACUGCCGCAUAGCGGGGGAUAACUAUUGGAAACGAUAGCUUAUACCGCAUACUGUGAGAUGGACCUGCUUUGUAUUAGCUAGUUGGUGAGGUAAAGGCUCACGAGGGCGACGAUCCAUAGCCGACCUGAGAGGGUGAUCGGCCAGACUGGGAAUGAGAAACGGCCCAGACUCCUAAGGGAGGCAGCAGUAGGGAAUCUUCGGCAAGGGACGGAAGUCUGACCGCGCAACGCCGCGGGAGGGAAGAAGGGUUUCGGAGCGUAAAGCAAGGUUGUUAGAGAAGCGGUAACUAAACAGAAAGGGACGGCUAACUACGUGCCAGCAGCCGCGGUAAUUC
rnacentral:rRNA from 1 species